AUACGGAGGAUCCGAGCGUUAUCCGGAUUUAUUGGGUUUAAAGGGUGCGUAGGCGGCCUUUUAAGUCAGCGGUGAAAGUCUGUGGCUCAACCAUAGAAUUGCCGUUGAAACUGGGAGGCUUGAGUAUGUUUGAGGCAGGCGGAAUGCGUGGGGUAGCGGUGAAAUGCUUAGAUAUCCCGCAGAACCCCGAUUGCGAAGGGAGCCUGCCAAGCCAUGACUGACGCUGAUGCACGAAAGCGUGGGGAUCAAACAGGAUUAGAUACCCUGGUAGUCCACGCAGUAAACGAUGAUCACUAGCUGUUUGCGAUACAGUGUAAGCGGCACAGCGAAAGCGUUAAGUGAUCCACCUGGGGAGUACGCCGGCAACGGUGAAACUUAAAGGAAUUGACGGGG
rnacentral:rRNA from 1 species